UGGGGAAUAUUGGGCAAUGGGCGAAAGCCUGACCCAGCGACGCCGCGUGAGGGAAGAAGAUCUUCGGAUUGUAAACCUUAGUCAACAGGGACGAAGAAAGAGACGGUACCUGUGGAGGAAGCCACGGCUAACUACGUGCCAGCAGCCGCGGUAAUACGUAGGUGGCGAGCGUUAUCCGGAAUUACUGGGUGUAAAGGGUGUGUAGGCGGGCCGGCAAGUCAGAUGUGAAAACUAUGGGCUUAACCCAUAGCCUGCAUUUGAAACUGCAGGUCUUGAGAGUGGGAGAGGUAAACGGAAUUCCCGGUGUAGCAGUGAAAUGCGUAGAUAUCGGGAGGAACAUCGGUGGCGAAGGCGGUUUACUGGACCACAACUGACGCUGAGACACGAAAGCGUGGGGAGCAAACAGG
rnacentral:rRNA from 1 species